CAUAGGUUAAUGAGGCGAACCGGGGGAACUGAAACAUCUAAGUACCCCGAGGAAAAGAAAUCAACCGAGAUUCCCCCAGUAGCGGCGAGCGAACGGGGAGGAGCCCAGAGCCUGAAUCAGCAUGUGUGUUAGUGGAAGCGUCUGGAAAGGCGCGCGAUACAGGGUGACAGCCCCGUACACAAAAGCGCAUGUGCUGUGAGCUCGAUGAGUAGGGCGGGACACGUGGUAUCCUGUCUGAAUAUGGGGGGACCAUCCUCCAAGGCUAAAUACUCCUGACUGACCGAUAGUGAACCAGUACCGUGAGGGAAAGGCGAAAAGAACCCCGGCGAGGGGAGUGAAAAAGAACCUGAAACCGUGUACGUACAAGCAGUGGGAGCCCCACCACUAAGCCAGUGGUGAACUCCACAUACGCAUCCUUUGCUGAGGAUACGGUUAACGGAGC
rnacentral:rRNA from 1 species